rnacentral:rRNA from 1 species
AGUGAACGCUGGCGGUAGGCCUAACACACGCAAGUCGAACGGCAGCACAGAGGAGCUUGCUCCUUGGGUGGCGAGUGGCGGACGGGUGAGGAAUACAUCGGAAUCUACCCUGUCGUGGGGGAUAACGUAGGGAAACUUACGCUAAUACCGCAUACGACCUACGGUUGAAAGCAGGGGAUCUUCGGACCUUGCGCGAUUGAAUGAGCCGAUGUCGGAUUAGCUAGUUGGCGGGGUAAAGGCCCACCAAGGCGACGAUCCGUAGCUGGUCUGAGAGGAUGAUCAGCCACACUGGAACUGCGACACGGUCAAGACGCCUACGGGAGGCAGCAGUGGGGAAUGUUGGACAAUGGGCGCAAGCCUGAUCCAGCCAUACCGCGUGGGUGAAGAAGGCCUUCGGGUUGUAAAGCCCUUUUGUUGGGAAAGAAAUCCAUCUGGUUAAUACCCGGGUGGGAUGACGGUACCCAAAGAAUAAGCACCGGCUAACUUCGUGCCAGCCGCCGCGGUAA